CCUGGAGGCUGUAGCUUGCCAACUCCUCCUCUGGAUUCAUGGAUUAGAGUUUAAGGAAGAGAUGGAGAAGUAUGGCAGAAGAACUGGAGUGAGGCCGAACCCCGUGGUGUUCUAGAAGAAAGGCUCUUGACACAAGCAUCUGGCAGUUAUUUUUCAGGGGAGAACCUACAAAUUAUAAGGCUGUGCAGCUCCCCUUACUAGUCAAGUGAUUACACUUUUGUUUUCUUUUAUUUUUUUUUAGAGACAGGAUCUCCCUCUGUCACCCAGGCUGGAGUGUGGUGCCGCAGUCACAGCUCACUGCAGCCUCGAACUUGUGGGCUCAAGUGAUCCUGCCUCAGCCUCCUGAGUAGCUGGGACUACAGACACACUCCACCAUGCCUGGCCCAAUUUGACGUGUUCUUCAAAUGGAAAAGAACAAAUGACAUCUCACAGUCGAUGCUGAAACCUUAACCCAGGGGGCCAUGGGGGCCCCAGCCCCUGCAGACUGAAAGGAUGGAGCCCAUUCAGUCUUUUGCUGGCCGAUAUUUUGCUAUUUUUGCUUCCUUGCAGUGUUCCACAGUACCUAAUUCAACAGGCUCUCAGCCUCUACUCCCAUUCUAUUUAUUGUGGUAAAAUAUAUAACAAAAUUUACCGUUUUAACCUUUUUCUUUCUUUUUUUUUUUUUUUGAAACAGGGUCUCACUCUGUCACCCAGGCUGGAGUACAGUGGUGCCAUUGCAGAUCACUGCAGCCUCAACCUCCUGGGUUCAAGUGAUCCUCCCACCUCAGCCUCCUGAGUAAUUAGGAUUACAGGCUUAAGCCACCAUGCCCAGCCUACUUUAAUCAUUUUUUAAUUUUAAUUUUAUUUAUUUUUUUAAAUUUUACUUUAAGUUCUGAGAUUCAUGUGCAGAACGUGCAGGUUUGUUACAUAGGUAUACACAUGUCAUAGUGGUUUGCCGCAGCUGUCAACCCGUCAUCUAGGUUUUAAGCCCUGCAUGCCUUAGGUAUUUCUCCUAAUGCUGCCCCUCCCGCAGCCCCCCAUCCUCAGACAGGCCCCGGUGUGUGAUACUCCCCUCCCUGUGUCCAUGUGUUCUCAUUGCUCAACUGCCACUUAUAAGUGAGAACAUGCAGUGUUUGGUUUUCUGUUCCUGUGUUAGUUUGCUGAAAAUGAUGGCUUCCAGCUUCAUCCGUGUCCCUGCAAAAGACAUGAGUUCAUUAUUUUUUAUGGCUGCAUAGUAUUCCAUGGUGUAUAUAUG
rnacentral:lncRNA from 1 species